rnacentral:rRNA from 1 species
UACGUAGGGACCAAGCGUUGUUCGGAUUUACUGGGCGUAAAGGGCGCGUAGGCGGCAAUUCAAGUCAGCUGUGAAAUCUCUGGGCUUAACCCAGAACGGCCAGCUGAUACUGCUUUGCUAGAGUGCAGAAGGGGCAAUCGGAAUUCUUGGUGUAGCGGUGAAAUGCGUAGAUAUCAAGAGGAACACCUGAGGUGAAGACGGGUUGCUGGGCUGACACUGACGCUGAGGCGCGAAAGCGUGGGGAGCGAACAGG